GCGCGCUCUGCACGGUGGGGGUGAGUCCCGUUGCGUGUGCUGUGCGUGUCAUGGCUUAGCGUCCGUCUGUCGCGAAGCCGGGCUGUGGAGCGUUGGAGGCAAGAGCAGCCGUGAGCUGGGACCCGCCUUCUUAGGAGGCCCCCGUGUGCCCGGCCCUGCUGUUAGAGGCGCAGUGCUGCUGCCCGGCUGCUGGGGCCUGGGGCCCUGGGGGGAGUGGGCAGCAGGCCCGCCUGAGUGCAGAGGUCCUCCGUGAGGAGCCCUACUGUGUGCCCGGCCGCUGGUGACGCCUCUGAUCCUGACCGGGAAUCGAACCGUGGCCUCCUGGUUCACAGGUCCACGCUCCACCACGGAGCCACGCCGGCCGGGCCCUCUGG